rnacentral:lncRNA from 1 species
UGCCCCGCGGACCCGCGGACCCGCGCGGAUGCGGCGCUGCUGGGGCUGCGCGCCCGGGGAGCCGAGCGCCGCGCGGGCCGGACAUGCAGUCGCUCAUCUCGCCGGUGACCAAGGCGAUCCUGGUGGCCCUGUUCAUCUUCGCCAUCCUGCUCAUCCUCUACGUGAUCCUCUGGUACAUCUGCCGCGAUGUGGACUGCGACCACGGCCUGUGAGCGCCCGCGCCCCGCGCCUCGGGGGCUGCAGCGGCCCGGGCUCGGGGGUCCCCGCGACCCCGUCGCCCGCGCGUCCUUGUCCGGCAGCGGCUCCGCGCCUUGACCUUCAGGGCUGCGCCGCCGAGCAGGGGUCCGGGUCUCUGAAGGGACAGAGAGCUCUGGUGGCAGUGAAGCCUUCUGUCAUCCUGCCCACCAGGUCAAGCCAGGGCGCCAGACCACCAGUAGACCAUGGCUCCAACAGGCAGCUCAGGCCCUUGGAGGUCGCAAGCAGCCCAACCCUCCUCUGGGGCUACCCAACCAGCACGCCACCCCAGCUGCACUACGGGGGAGAAGGGUGGGUGACUGUUGCUGAGGAUUAAGGCCCUCUCCCCCUUCACCCAUCUUGCCAAGCCAUGACCAAGAGAUCAGGCUCCUGGGCAGUUCACCUCGGGGGGCCAUGUGGGGAUCCCCAACCUCCAUCCAGCCUCUGGUCACCUCUGGCCACCCCUGCCCAGCUGCCUGGCUCUCUCUGCUGUGACAGCGUCCUCAGCCUCAUCCUUGUGCAUAGUGACAACAUCCCUGGGUCCCAUUGUCGUCCGAGGGUCAGGCCAGGGGGAGUGUUGACCUGCACCCCUGGCUGGAUGGGCCCCCUGGAGGACCGUCACCUUCUAACGAUGCCAUCGCCAGGGUAGGUGCCGCUGGGGACCUACCCCACGUCAUUCUCAGAUGCAACCCAUGCCACGCGCCAAUGCCAAUCCCAGCCAGUGGUCCCGGCCUCCUCAUGUGUGCAGAGCAAGCAGCCGGCUGGGAAAAAGACACCCAAGGGGCUCCCUGGGUUCCUCCAGCCGAGUUACCUAGGAUGUUCUGGUGUCAUCUUGCAAAGAGGAGAGACCGUGUCUUAGAAGCAGAGAAUCACCCUGUGAAAUGGUGGACUAGAGAUUUUGCAGGUGCAAUGAGAGGGCUCUGGGACAUUCUAGUAGCAUAUCCAGCAUUUAGUUCCUUUGGAACGCGAACCUAUGCAUAAGGCACUUUCUCCAGUGCAUCCUGUGUGAGACUCCUCUGGCUACCAGGAAGGACCCCAGACCUCCCUGCCCUGUGCUUGGCUGACAGCAGAAUGAAGGAGGUCUCCAUGUGGAGCUGUGAAGUCCAUGUGAACAUCCGUGCUGCGGUGCCCCCAGCAGCACCCGCCCCUCGUCCUGUUGGUCUGUGCCCUGGUGAGCUUUUUCUACACUCUUCCUCCACACCGCCGCUGUCGUCCCGUUCUGCAGGUGUGAAUUUUGAUGCCUCGGUGUUGUCCUGUCAUCGCUUCCGCCUCCGUGUGUGCAGGGAGGCUGUGAGGAUGGAGCUGAGACAUUACAGCUAUUCCAGACAAUAAAAUAUUUUUGAAACCGCUCUCUGUCUCACUGUGGAAUCCUGACCCUUUCCACCCAGUACAGCACUGUGUGGAGGGCACACGGGGGACUUGCUGUCCCCAGAGGGUGGCAGGGUGGGACACUGU